UUCAGGAUGGCCAAGCGGUCAAAGGCGCUGCGUUCAUGUCGAAGUCGGUUUUGGCGUGGGUUCGAAUCCCACUUCUGAUAA